GUUUUUUCAUUUUUCCAGAAACAGGGUCUGGCUCUGUCGUCCAGACUGGAGUGCGGUGACACGAUCAUGUUUCACUGCAGCCCUGGCCUCCUGGGCUAGAGCGAUCCUCCUGC